GUCUAACCACCGGGAUGUUCAUAACCCUUUGUUGUCCGACUCUGUUGCCUCCGGGGCGACCCUGCCUUCGGGCGGGGGCUCCGGGUGGACACUUCAAACUCUUGCGUAACUUUGCAGUCUGAGUAAACUUAAUUAAUAAAUUAAAACUUUUAACAACGGAUCUCUUGGUUCUGGCAUCGAUGAAGAACGCAGCGAAAUGCGAUAAGUAAUGUGAAUUGCAGAAUUCAGUGAAUCAUCGAAUCUUUGAACGCACAUUGCGCCCCCUGGUAUUCCGGGGGGCAUGCCUGUUCGAGCGUCAUUUCACCACUCAAGCCUCGCUUGGUAUUGGGCAACGCGGUCCGCCGCGUGCCUCAAAUCGACCGGCUGGGUCUUCUGUCCCCUAAGCGUUGUGGAAACUAUUCGCUAAAGGGUGCUCGGGAGGCUACGCCGUAAAACAAACCCAUUUCUAAGGUUGACCUCGGAUCAGGUAGGGAUACCCGCUGAACUUAAG
rnacentral:rRNA from 1 species